AGAUUGUUAUCACUCACAUGGAGACUGACCAGCACUUGUUUCCUGACCACUUCUCUGAUUUUGACCUGACCUUGGCCUUCUGUGUCUGACUACGGUCCUUGCCUGUUGUUUCCUGAUCCCUCAUCAACCUGUGCUAACUGAGGAGUUUACAGCGCACUUCCAGGACCACUUACAAAUAGAGAAUGGAAAAAAGUAUAUGUGGAAAAUAUAUUUCUGUCAAAGUCCACUUUCUGCUGAGGUCAACAUCUGGAUCACUCUGAAACACACUGCCAAGAAUCCCGUGCCCAGCAGGUCGCCCAGAGCUGUGAGGUAAGGGAUGGAGAAGUUGUCUGGAUCCAGUCCUCGUCUCCAGAGCCAGAACACCAUCAGCCGUGCUACGUAGAGCAAAAUCAGCACCUGCAGGGAAACACAUGAAUGUGUCUGUACUUCACUCAAGUUUUUCUCCUAUUGACUGAGUUCAGUGGACGUGUGACCUGGACAACAGCAGCACACAGAUAGCAGACGAUGAAGGUGGCCGUCAUGGCGGUGUGUCCUCCGUGCAGAAGGUGGAUGGUGUAUAAGAAGAGGAGGUGACCUGGCAC